rnacentral:rRNA from 1 species
GCGAGUCCUCAACUGACGCUAAUGCUCGAAAGUGCGGGUAUCGAACAGGAUUAGAUACCCUGGUAGUCCGCACGGUAAACGAUGGAUGCCCGCUGUUGGCGAUAUACUGUCAGCGGCCAAGCGAAAGCGUUAAGCAUCCCACCUGGGGAGUACGCCGGCAACGGUGAAACUCAAAGGAAUUGACGGGGGCCCGCACAAGCGGAGGAACAUGUGGUUUAAUUCGAUGAUACGCGAGGAACCUUACCCGGGCUUGAACUGCAGGAGAACGAUACAGAGAUGUUGAGGUCCUUCGGGACUCCUGUGGAGGUGCUGCAUGGUUGUCGUCAGCUCGUGCCGUGAGGUGUCGGCUUAAGUGCCAUAACGAGCGCAACCCCUUCCGUCAGUUGCCAUCACUUUGGGUGGGCACUCUGGCGGUACUGCCACCGUAAGGUGUGAGGAAGGUGGGGAUGACGUCAAAUCAGCACGGCCCUUACGUCCGGGGCUACACACGUGUUACAAUGGGUGGUACAGAGAGUCGGCCGCAUGCAAAUUCGGUCUAAUCAUGAAAGCCAUCCUCAGUUCGGAUUGGGGUCUGCAACCCGACCCCAUGAAGCUGGAUUCG